ACUGCAGCCACAGCUCCAGGUACAAAGUGGCACCAGGAGGGACCAGCCACUGUGCUUUGCACCCAGCCUCACUGCACCUUCUGGUGCAUCUGGAAGGUCCUGAAGGAGGAGUUCCAGGGCCCCGGCUGCCAUGGGCCCUGAAGGAAUAGUUCGGUGCUGGAGCUGGGCAUGGGAAUAGAGCCAAGCAUUUGAGAGGCAGGGACCAGGCAGAUGUCAGAAACAAGAACCAGCAGACGUCCAAAGAAGGCAUCUGUCUGAAGGCCAGGAUGCAAGAUACAGUAAGUAGGCUGCCAGCUGCAAGCCAGGAAGAGGGCCCUCACCAGAAGCCAACUAUGAUGGCACCCUGAUCUUGGACUUCCCAGUCUUCAGAACUGUGAGAAAUAAAUGUCUGUGGUUUAAGCCACCCAGUCUCUGGUAUUUUGUUAUAGCAAUGCCCACAGACUAAGGCAUAUGUCCAGCCUCAGGCACGGCUGGCUAGAGGGAUCAAAGCUGUCCUUAUCACCUUGUUAAUCUGUCCCCGUAUCUCAGCUCUGCUUACUCACCCAAGGCUCCAUUGUCAAGAAAAGCUCAUGUCCCAGUGCAACCCAAGCAGCUCCAGCUUACAUUGCCUCAGGUUUAAGUUGGAAGGACAGCCUACUUUGAGGUCUCUCCUCCCAGCAGAAUCUCAUUGCAUCUCACUGAGCCUGUCAGGGCCACAUGCCCACUCCUGAACCGAGCUCUGUAGCCAGGGAAAGUGAUGUGCUGAUUGCCUUAGGCCUAGGCCACAGGCUUCACCCCUGAGCCUGUGGGUGGAGCAUCACUCAAAGAACCCAGAAUAAGGUGAGGCCACCAGCUCAUCAAAGGACAUGGCGAGGGUGCUGAAGACACAAAGAACACAGCCUACCAAGCAGCUUAACAGAGGCUGGGUGGGAGCCAGGCCAGAUCUCAAAAAGAAACCCUCAGGACCAAGAAAAGAGUGAUACAGCAAAUAAACAGAUCAACACUAGAAAGUAAAUAGAUCAACAUCG
rnacentral:lncRNA from 1 species